CGAACGCUGGCGACGUGCCUAAAACAUGCAAGUCGAACGAGGUAGCAAUACCUAGUGGCGAACGGCGAAGUAAUACAUGAACAACCUGCCUUAAAGCUUGGGAUAUACAGAGGAAACUCUGGGUAAUACCAAAUGUGACCAUUCUGCGGCAUCGUAGAAUGAUUAAAGGUUUUUCGCUUUAAGAGGGGUUCAUGGCCUAUCAGGUAGUUGGGAGGGUAAUGGCCUACCAAGCCGACGACGGGUAGCGGGUCUGAGAGGAUGAUCCGCUCGAGUGGGACUGAGACACGGCCCACACACCUACGGGUGGCAGCAGUUGGGAAUCUUGCGCAAUGGGGGAAACCCUGACGCAGCGACGUCGCGUGGAGGAUGAAGGAUCUAGGUCUGUAAACUCCUUUUUCAGGGAAAGACUUAGGACGGUACCCUGAGAAUAAGCACCGGCUAACUACGUGCCAGCAGCCGCGGUAAGACGUAGGGUGCAAGCGUUGUCCGGAUUUACUGGGCGUAAAGGGCGCGUAGGCGGUCUGUUAAGUGUAGAGUGAAAUCUCCAGGGCUCAACCCGGAAACUGCUCUGCAUACUGGCAGACUUGAGGGACGAAGAGGUAUGUGGAAUUCCUGGUGUAGCGGUGAAAUGCGUUGAUAUCAGGAGGAACACCCAUGGCGAAGGCAGCAUACUGGUCGUUUCCUGACGCUGAGGCGCGAAAGCGUGGGU
rnacentral:rRNA from 1 species